rnacentral:rRNA from 1 species
UACGAAGGGUGCAAGCGUUACUCGGAAUUACUGGGCGUAAAGCGUGCGUAGGUGGUUCGUUAAGUCUGAUGUGAAAGCCCUGGGCUCAACCUGGGAAUGGCAUUGGAUACUGGCGACCUAGAGUGCGGUAGAGGGGUGUGGAAUUCCCGGUGUAGCAGUGAAAAUGCGUAGAUAUCGGGAGGAACAUCUGUGGCGAAGGCGACACCCUGGACCAGCACUGACACUGAGGCACGAAAGCGUGGGGAGCGAACAGG